rnacentral:lncRNA from 1 species
GGAAGUUUGUUUUUGCUCUGCAGGAUUGAAGGGUUCUCCCUAUGCUGCUUUGAGCGCUGCUAUUGGGUGCCUUGAGGGGACCUCAAGUAAGCUCCAUUUUUGAAACAUGAGUCAAAGCCCCGGUGAAGAUUCUGUGACGGUUCAUUGUAUAAUUUAUGAUGAUGAAGAUUGAGUUGCAUUUUGCGGAAAAGAGAUGUUGAGAUAUCUAAGGCAUUGAGAAAUCUGUCAUGCAGACAUGCACACAGGGAGAGGGAGUACCCAAACUGAUGAGAACUUACAGGAAUUGGACCAUCUAAGCCCUUAGAAAGUGAAGUCCACUGUGUCUCAAACAAAGGAUGGCAAGUGUUCAUGACAUCAAUACUACCCAAGGCUUCAGAGUCAUUGGAUUGCAGGAUGCAGUGACUUAUGAUGAUGUGCGUGUGAACUUCACUGAGGAAGAGUGGGAUUUGCUGGAUCCUUCCCAGAAAAGUCUCUAUGAAGAGGUGAUGCUAGAGACAUACCAGAACAUCACUGCUAUAGGCUACAAUUGGGAAGACCAUCAUAUUGAAGAACAUUGUCAAAGUUCUAGAAGACAUGAAAGGCAUGAAAGAAUUCAUAUUGGAGAGAAACCGUAUGAACGUAACCAAUGGGCUGAACUUGGUCACAUGUAAGAAUCAUCCAGGUGGUACUGGUUUUGAAGGCAUGACGGUGUCAUGAGGAGCAGCUGAGGCUUGGACCAAUGAAGGGAGCAUAAGUGAGACUAUCAGUGAAGCCUAGUUGCAGGAGAAGAACCCAACAUAUUGAAGAUGCCAGUCCAAUGGGAUGAGCAGAAAGAACAGCCCAGUAGAGUGGAGUCAACCAGAGCUUAGAGUGAUACAGAGGUCAGAGCUAGAGAAGUGACCUUAUCUCUUUGGAGGACUGCAGAAGAUCAUGUGUGGAUCCAAGACAUUGGAGCAAGAAGCUGUAACACUGAGGUUACCUUCCAGACCCCAAGAUCUUUGAGAUGUCAGAGCUGUGGGGUACCUGCUCAGGAAAACCAGCCAAAGAGAAAGAAUUGUGCUGCAGUUAACAAAGCAUAAAAGGAGUUGGAGAUCUAAAGAAUGCUUUAACAUGACACAUGGAGAUGCAGUUUCAAGAUUUCCAAGUUGACUUUUGGUUUUGUUUUCGUCCAGUAAUUCCUCAUGAUGACAUUUUGGAAUGGUGAAGUCUAUGUUGUGAAGUUGGAAUUAUAUGAUCUGCAUUUAGAUUUUUCUUUUUUAGGGGAUUACAGUUACAUUGAAUGAAUCUCAGAAGAGACUUUGACCUUUGGACUUUUAACGUAUUUGAGACUGGUAUAGAUGAUGGGGACUUUUGAGGUUGGACCUCGUGUAUUUUUCAUUAUGCAUGUUUAAAUAUGUUCCUUAUACAUUCCUGUACUCCAACAUGCUUAAGGGGGCCAGUGAGUGGAAUGUGGGAGUUUGAAUAUGCUUGUGACAGGGAGUGACUCUAUUCAGAGGUGUGACCUUGUAGGAGAAAGUGGAUAUCUCUGGGGGUGGACUUUGAAGCUCCACCAAGUGCAAAACAGACCCUCCUAUUCCCUCUCUGGAAGACAGUUUCUUCCUGGCUGCCUUUGGAUCAAAAUGCAGAACUCUCAGCUCCUUCUCCAGCAUCAUGUCUGCCUGCAUGCUGCUGUGCUUCCUCUGAAACUGUAAGCCAGCCCCAAUUAAAGGUUUGCUUUUAUGAGA